rnacentral:misc_RNA from 1 species
UUAAGUUCAGCGGGUAGUCCUACCUGAUUUGAGGUCAGAUUUCAAAGUUGUUUUUUGACCGCCACUCGAGAAGGCAGGUCGUGGAAGGGCACAAACAGAGGGGAAUGUCUCAGACGAGAGCGAGGUUGUUACAACGCCCAACCGAGUUUGACCCACAGGCCCAACCGAAGCAUUUGAGGGGAGCGGACCUUUCGGCCGCA